rnacentral:rRNA from 1 species
UACGAAGGGGGCUAGCGUUGUUCGGAUUUACUGGGCGUAAAGCGCACGCAGGCGGUCUGCUAAGUUUGGAGUGACAGUUGGUGGCUUAACUGCCAAAGUGCUUCGAAAACUGACAGACUUGAGGGCUUCAGAGGGACACGGAAUUCCGGGUGGAGUGGUGGAAUGCGUAGAGAUCCGGAGGAACACCAAAGGCGAAGGCAGUGUCCUGGGGAGUACCUGACGCUCAGGUGCGAAAGCCAGGGGAGCGAACGGG